rnacentral:rRNA from 1 species
GCCAGACUCCUACGGGAGGCAGCAGUGAGGAAUAUUGGUCAAUGGUCGGGAGACUGAACCAGCCAAGCCGCGUGAGGGAUGAAGGUACAGAGUAUCGUAAACCUCUUUUGUCAGGGAACAAAGGCGGGGACGUGUCCCCGGAUGAGUGUACCUGGAGAAAAAGCAUCGGCUAACUCCGUGCCAGCAGCCGCGGUAAUACGGAGGAUGCGAGCGUUAUCCGGAUUUAUUGGGUUUAAAGGGUGCGCAGGCGGUCUGUUAAGUCCGCGGUCAAAGCCUGGGGCUCAACCCCGGCCCUCCGUUGAAACUGGCAGUCUCGAGUUGGAGAGAAGUAUGCGGAAUGCGCGGUGUAGCGGUGAAAUGCAUAGAUAUCGCGCAGAACUCCGAUUGCGAAGGCAGCAUGCCGGCUCCACACUGACGCUGAGGCACGAAAGCGUGGGUAUCGAACAGGAUUAGAUACCCGCGUAA